rnacentral:misc_RNA from 1 species
GCGAGACUUAGUGCUCCAACCCUUUGUGAACCUACCUAUUACGGUGUUGCUUCGGCGGGUUUUUGCCGGUAGGAUUCGUCCUGCCGGCAUGCCGCCUGGCCAGCGGAGCCCGCCGGCAGCACCAAACUCUCAGUUUUAGUAGAACAACCUUCUGAGUGGUUAAAAACAAACAAGCA